GAUCUUUCCUAGCAGGGGAUAUAGCAUGAAGGUAGAUUUUCCAGGGCAAGGCUUAUUCCUGUGCUGACACCUGUAAUUUCCCCAUAGUUGGGGAACUGGACUCCAUCUUUUAUGGAAGUCGGGGACUGUUUGUGCUCUCCGG
rnacentral:snRNA from 1 species